CCUACGGGUGGCAGCAGUGGGGAAUAUUGCACAAUGGGGGAAACCCUGAUGCAGCAACGCCGCGUGAGCGAAGAAGGCCUUCGCGUCGUAAAGCUCUGUCCUAAGGGUAGAAGCAUGACGGUACCUUAGGAGGAAGCCCCGGCUAACUACGUGCCAGCAGCCGCGUUAAUACGUAGGGGGCGAGCGUUAUCCGGAAUCACUGGGCGUAAUGGGUGCGUAGGCGGCCAAUUAAGCCAGAGGUGAAAGGCUACGGCUCAACCGUAGUAAGCCUGUGGAACUGAAUGGCUUGGGUGCAGGUGAGGAGAGGCGAUUUAUUGGUGUAGCAGUGAAAUGCGUAGAUAUUAGGAGGAACGCCAGUGGCGAAGGCGACUCUCUGGGCUGUAAAAGACGCUGAGGAACGAAAGCGUGGGGAGAAACCGGGAUUAGGUCCCCUGGUAUUG
rnacentral:rRNA from 1 species